CAUGUAGGCGGAUUAAUAAGUUUGAAGUGAAAUCCUAUAGCUUAACUAUAGAACUGCUUUGAAAACUGUUAAUCUAGAAUGUGGGAGAGGUAGAUGGAAUUUCUGGUGUAGGGGUAAAAUCCGUAGAGAUCAGAAGGAAUAUCGAUUGCGAAGGCGAUCUACUGGAACAUUAUUGACGCUGAGAUGCGAAAGCGUGGGGAGCAAACA
rnacentral:rRNA from 1 species